rnacentral:ncRNA from 2 species
UUACAAGGUAGAGGCGCGAUUCUCAAGAGUAAGGUCAUUUCUGACAGGGAAAUAAAAUGGCUUGAAAGGGAGUAUCGCCGAAGCACGUGAGAUAAUUGCCCAAAAACUCACAUGCUGGGUAUGUAUCCGAAAGGUGCAUAACUGUCACAAAAUCGUUGUGGAGAGCUACCUGCUUC